ACAAAACAACUGAUAUAAAUAUAUUCAAGAAGUGAGAUUUUCAUUCAUCCGAAGAUAAUGUCUGACCAGAAGGGAAGUUCAAGUACUCAAGGAAGUGGAAGUAAUGGAAAAAAGAAGCCUGCCACCGUGAUUCCUGCUAAAAAGAAGUCGGUGAAAAAGAUGAUGGCUGAGACGAUGGCUGGCUGUGUUGCUUCCGCGAUCAACAACAACAAUAAUAGGAUCAAUCCCGAAAAUGAUGAUGAUGAAUAAUGACAAUGAUGUGCACAAGUAUGUUUGUAAGGGGUCUUAGUGCUUUUAGCACUUGUUUGUCUUGUUUAUUUGUAUUUAUACAGUUUCAUAAAGUAAUGUCUACUCUUCCUGUGUAGAAUGAAGUUUAUGGUUUAACCAGUUUGGUUUUUCUUGAUAAUUUACUCUGUGUAUGUCUUAAGGUUGUGAAUGAAUAACAGUUUUUUACUGUACUGGUA
rnacentral:lncRNA from 1 species